rnacentral:rRNA from 1 species
GACGAACGCUGGCGGCGUGCUUAACACAUGCAAGUCGAACGAUGAAGCCGGAGCUUGCUCUGGUGAAUUAGUGGCGAACGGGUGAGUAACACGUGAGUAACCUGCCCUUGACUCUGGGAUAACUGCGGGAAACUGUAGCUAAUACCAGAUACGACCCUCGGAGGCAUCUCCUGGGGGUGGAAAGAAUUUCGGUCAAGGAUGGACUCGCGGCCUAUCAGCUAGUUGGUGAGGUAAAGGCUCACCAAGGCGACGACGGGUAGCCGGCCUGAGAGGGUGACCGGUCACACGGGGACUGAGACACGGCCCAGACUCCUACGGGAGGCAGCAGUGGGGAGUAUUGCGCAAUGGGCGAAAGCCUGACGCAGCAACGCCGCGUGCGGGAUGAAGGCCUUCGGGUUGUAAACCGCUUUCAGCAGGGAAGAAGCGAAAGUGACGGUACCUGCAGAAGAAGCACCGGCUAACUACGUGCCAGCCGCCGCGGUAA